UACGAAGGGGCUAGCGUUGCUCGGAAUUACUGGGCGUAAAGCGCACGUAGGCGGCUCUUUAAGUCGGGGUGAAAUCCUGGAGCUCAACUCCAGAACUGCCUUCGAUACUGUAGAGCUUGAGUUCGGGAGAGGUGAGUGGAACUGCGAGUGUAGAGGUGAAAGUUCGUAGAUAUUCGCAAGAACACCAGUGGCGAAGGCGGCUCACUGGCCCGAGUACUGACGCUGAGGUGCGAAAGCGUGGGGAGCAACAGGG
rnacentral:rRNA from 1 species